GACGAACGCUGGCGGCGCGCUUAACACAUGCAAGUCGAGCGAGAACCAUCCCUUCGGGGAUGGGGAUAGCGGCGAACGGGUGAGUAACACGUGGGUAAUCUGCCCUCGGUUCCGGGAUAGCCCGGGGAAACCCGGAUUAAUACCGGAUGGCCUUUCGAGCUCUCGAGCUCGUAAAGAAAAGGUAGCUUCGGCCUCCGACCGAGGAUGAGCCCGCGGCCGAUUAGCUUGUUGGCGGGGUAACGGCCCACCAAGGCGACGAUCGGUAGCUGGUCUGAGAGGAUGAUCAGCCACACUGGGACUGAGACACGGCCCAGACUCCUACGGGAGGGCAGCAGUGGGGAAUCUUGCGCAAUGGGCGAAAGCCUGACGCAGCGACGCCGUGUGCGGGAAGAAGGCCU
rnacentral:rRNA from 1 species